ACCACUGCGCCACCAGGGAAGCCCCUAAAAAGGUGUUUUUAAGGAACUCUGAAUAUUCUGCUGAGCUGAGACUUCACAAAGAGAUGAUAUCAUUGCUGGUUGAGUGCCUCAACUAUUUAAUCGAGGGACAGAGGCAGAAGGUAGUGCUCCAAUUUUCAGCGUUCUAUGAACUUUAGAAACGGCCUUCUGUUUUCAGGGUUCUGCACUUACCUGUCUGCACCAGGUACUUGAUACUGACU